UUGGAGAGUUCAUUUUGGUGGACAAGGGUGUGAAGAUCAAAAAGAAUGGUAACAUCUACAGCCUGAACGAAGGCUACGCCAAGGACUUUGACCCUGCUGUCACUGAGUAUGUCAAGAGGAAAAAGUUCCCCCCAGAUAACUCAGCUCCCUAUGGUGCCCAGUACGUGGGCUCCAUGGUUCCGAUGUUCAACGCACUCUGGUCUAUGGUGGGAUCUUUCUGUACCCCGCUAACAAGAAGAGCCUCAGUGGAAAGCUGAGGCUGCUGUAUGAGUGUAACCCCAUGGCCUACAUCAUGGGGAAGGCGGGGGGCGUGGCUACCACUGGGAAGGAGGCGGUCCUAGACAUCCUUCCCACUGACAUCCACCAGAGGGCGCCAUUCAUCUUGGGGUCCCCGGAGAAGUGCAGGAGUUCCUGGAGGUUUACAAGCAGCACUCUGCCAAGUGAGGGGCUGGCCGCGCCCACUCCGGAAGGAGUGUCUUCCACGUGGACCUUUGUCUCUCAUUGUGCUCCCCUGUUCUGGAGGUGUGUCCGAAGUCCCUGGACAGCAGAAAUAAAAAACGUGGCGGUGCCUGGUGCUACAUAGCAAAAUGCUGUCUCCAUGAUGUCACUGGUGGGCAAGAUGUAUGUUGAGCG